rnacentral:rRNA from 1 species
AUGAGGCUGUGGUCUCGCGCAGUCCUGGGCCGGCCCAUCUUGCGCUCCGACAUCAGGCGAGGCUGCCCUAUGUCUCGCCAUACCCGACAGGGACGUCUUCUAAAAAUGAGAGGGACUAGCAGUUUACGACGAGAGCGGGAGUCCUCCGUCAUUCACGAUGCUCGCUGCGCCCUCCUCCACUACAAUUCCAAGAACCCGGGUGCCGAGUUCGAUCUUGUCAAACCUUUGAUGAACAUGGCCGUCAUAUUCAGAGGCGAGACAUGGCACCACGUCAGCUUUUGGGCUCGCAGGAGGGGCGCUCCGCCUGAGACCCCCGUGCGGCAAUUCUUCGGGGAGCUGCGCUACAUGUACAUCUGUGGCGAUGAUGACAAGUCCGUCGAAAUACAGGGCUGCCGAGUGGUUGUCGAGACAUGCACUAUCACGCAGCCACCCACCCGCAAGAAAAAGAAACCUCGCAGGAGUGUGUGUGUACUUUGCCCUCGUAGCUUUGAGAUCAUUCAUCCCAAAAAUGGGAAGUUUGUGUGCGGAAAGGAAGGACACGAGAAGGAGUUUAUCCGGUUGAACAAUAUGCUUGAGAAGCCAUUCACAUAUGCACUCCUCCUUCACCGCCCGCCUCACACGCGCAUUGUGUUUCGUUGCCACGCCGCGCUAGUAAGGAUAUAUAGCUCUCCAAGUCUUAUUGACAUUGGUGAUGCUGUUCUAGAAGAACUAUGUUCUGAAGAUGACCAUUCUGAUGCUGAAUUAGAAUACUACUAUGACAAUCUUAAAAAGAUCCUUUCUAGUAAAGAAAAGAUGAAGAUUGGCACCUCAGCUAAUACUGCUGGGAAGCAUGCCAUAUCAAUAGGAGGGGGAGGAAAAAAAAGGAAGAAAAAGCAAUGA